rnacentral:rRNA from 1 species
CCUGAUGCAGCGACGCCGCGUGGGGGAUGACGGCCUUCGGGUUGUAAACCUCUUUCAGCACAGACGAAGCGCAAGUGACGGUAUGUGCAGAAGAAGCACCGGCCAACUACGUGCCAGCAGCCGCGGUAAUACGUAGGGUGCGAGCGUUGUCCGGAAUUACUGGGCGUAAAGAGCUUGUAGGUGGUUUGUCGCGUUGUUCGUGAAAUCUCACGGCUCAACUGUGAGCGUGCGGGCGAUACGGGCAGACUAGAGUACUGCAGGGGAGACUGGAAUUCCUGGUGUAGCGGUGGAAUGCGCAGAUAUCAGGAGGAACACCGGUGGCGAAGGCGGGUCUCUGGGCAGUAACUGACGCUGAGAAGCGAAAGCGUGGGGAGCGAACAGGAUUAGAUACCCUGGUAGUCCACGCCGUAAACGGUGGGUACUAGGUGUGGGUUUCCUUCCUUGGGAUCCGUGCCGUAGCUAACGCAUUAAGUACCCCGCCUGGGGAGUACGGCCGCAAGGCUAAAACUCAAAGAAAUUGACGGGGGCCCGCACAAGCGGCGGAGCAUGUGGAUUAAUUCGAUGCAACGCGAAGAACCUUACCUGGGCUUGACAUGCACUAGAAAGCCGUAGAGAUACGGCCCCCCUUGUGGUUGGU